rnacentral:misc_RNA from 2 species
CACAAAAAAUAUGAAGGCUGCACGCGGCUGCGUCUCCGGACCAGUUGCUGAGGCUGAACUAUUUUUCACCCAUGUCUUUUGCGCACUUGUUGUUUCCUGGGCGGGUUCGCUCGCCACCAGGACCACACCAUAAACCUUUUUUAUGCAGUUGCAAUCAGCGUCAGUAUAACAAAUGUAAAUCAUUUA